CACCCUUGAACUAUUUAGUACACGCGCGCAAUCCUUGCCUCCGCGGAAAAUGGUUUUGGAGAAGAUCUCUUAUGGCAAAAACACCGCUGAAGCGAUGGGAAGUGUAGAAGAAAGUAAUCUGAACCUGCAGUGGGAAAAUGAGACCGUCAGAUCAAGCGAAGGAGAAGUUGAAGAUGAGAAAUUAUUCUGCGACCGGAAAAGGCUUGCGGUUCAACUGCCUACUGAGUAAUACAAUGGCCCUUGUCUUGGAAAGUCUUGGAUUAUAAUAAUGACAUUUACAUUUCCCUGAGAAGCCCAUUUUAUGCACUUUAAAAUGAGAUAUGGUAGGUAUUACUGCUGUAAAUAAUUGUUGAGAUUUUCAAAACUGAAUGGUGUGUUUUUUUUUUUUUGGUUGAUUACUUUUGAAUGACGUGGGUGCAAAAAAAAAAUUCAGAAAAAAAUUGCUAUGUAUUUCUUUGCUUUCAGAUUUUAAGAAAAUGUUGCUUACAUGUUGACAAUUAACUUUUGCUAUUAAAUAAUCUCUAGUAACUGAUGCUUAUGAGGAUAGGUGACUUUUCCCUCAAGUUUUACACUAAUACGUACUUACAUGUAUUUUGUCAUUUAGAUUUAUUUUUUCAGGAAAGUCUUGGGUUUUAGCAAUGAGAUUUAUAUUUCCCAGAGAAGCCCAUUUUAUGCACUUUAAAAUGAGAUAUGGAAGGUGUUACUGCUGUAAAUAUUUUUUGAGAUUUUAAUUCAAAACUGUUUGUUGCGUUUUUGGUUAAUUUCUUUUGAAUUACAU